rnacentral:rRNA from 1 species
UACGGAGGGGGGCUAGCGUUGUUCGGAAUUACUGGGCGUAAAGCGCGCGUAGGCGGACCUGCAAGUCGGGGGUGAAAGCCCGAGGCUCAACCUCGGAACUGCCUUCGAUACUGCGGGUCUCGAGUCCGGGAGAGGUGAGUGGAAUUCCUAGUGUAGAGGUGAAAUUCGUAGAUAUUAGGAAGAACACCAGUGGCGGAAAGGCGGCUGCACUGGCCCGGUACUGACGCUGAGGUGCGAAAGCGUGGGGAGCAAACAGG